GAUGAACGCUGGCGGCGUGCCUAAUACAUGCAAGUCGAGCGAACAGACGAGGAGCUUGCUUCUCUGAUGUUAGCGGCGGACGGGUGAGUAACACGUGGAUAACCUACCUAUAAGACUGGGAUAACUUCGGGAAACCGGAGCUAAUACCGGAUAAUAUUUUGAACCGCAUGGUUCAAAAGUGAAAGACGGUCUUGCUGUCACUUAUAGAUGGAUCCGCGCUGCAUUAGCUAGUUGGUAAGGUAACGGCUUACCAAGGCAACGAUGCAUAGCCGACCUGAGAGGGUGAUCGGCCACACUGGAACUGAGACACGGUCCAGACUCCUACGGGAGGCAGCAGUAGGGAAUCUUCCGCAAUGGGCGAAAGCCUGACGGAGCAACGCCGCGUGAGUGAUGAAGGUCUUCGGAUCGUAAAACUCUGUUAUUAGGGAAGAACAUAUGUGUAAGUAACUGUGCACAUCUUGACGGUACCUAAUCAGAAAGCCACGGCUAACUACGUGCCAGCAGCCGCGGUAAUACGUAGGUGGCAAGCGUUAUCCGGAAUUAUUGGGCGUAAAGCGCGCGUAGGCGGUUUUUUAAGUCUGAUGUGAAAGCCCACGGCUCAACCGUGGAGGGUCAUUGGAAACUGGAAAACUUGAGUGCAGAAGAGGAAAGUGGAAUUCCAUGUGUAGCGGUGAAAUGCGCAGAGAUAUGGAGGAACACCAGUGGCGAAGGCGACUUUCUGGUCUGUAACUGACGCUGAUGUGCGAAAGCGUGGGGAUCAAACAGGAUUAGAUACCCUGGUAGUCCACGCCGUAAACGAUGAGUGCUAAGUGUUAGGGGGUUUCCGCCCCUUAGUGCUGCAGCUAACGCAUUAAGCACUCCGCCUGGGGAGUACGACCGCAAGGUUGAAACUCAAAGGAAUUGACGGGGACCCGCACAAGCGGUGGAGCAUGUGGUUUAAUUCGAAGCAACGCGAAGAACCUUACCAAAUCUUGACAUCCUUUGACAACUCUAGAGAUAGAGCCUUCCCCUUCGGGGGACAAAGUGACAGGUGGUGCAUGGUUGUCGUCAGCUCGUGUCGUGAGAUGUUGGGUUAAGUCCCGCAACGAGCGCAACCCUUAAGCUUAGUUGCCAUCAUUAAGUUGGGCACUCUAAGUUGACUGCCGGUGACAAACCGGAGGAAGGUGGGGAUGACGUCAAAUCAUCAUGCCCCUUAUGAUUUGGGCUACACACGUGCUACAAUGGACAAUACAAAGGGCAGCGAAACCGCGAGGUCAAGCAAAUCCCAUAAAGUUGUUCUCAGUUCGGAUUGUAGUCUGCAACUCGACUACAUGAAGCUGGAAUCGCUAGUAAUCGUAGAUCAGCAUGCUACGGUGAAUACGUUCCCGGGUCU
rnacentral:rRNA from 1 species